rnacentral:lncRNA from 1 species
CCCACCAAUUUCCCCAAAUCCCUAGUUGUUUGGUUUUCAUCUCCUUAAAAUUCCUCUUCUUCUCCAAGGUGCCGUAACCGCUGUCAAAUCCCAUUUCAUGCAAACUAUGUUGAAGGCGAUACAAUUUUGAAGGUUCAAAACAAGAAUCAAAGACAAGAUGCAUUUUUGAAGCCCUAAUUCUUAUUUGAUGAGAUAUGGUAUGCCAUGUGUGGUGGAGUUAUUGGGGCCUUUGAUCGUUUGGGAGAGGCGUGACAGAAAAUGGACAACUUUGAAGAUUAGUAAUCACUUUUAAAAUGAAUGAGUGAACGAAGGGUUACAUAGCUGUUAUUUCUAACAUAGAAGAAUAUUCGAGGAAUGUAAGAUCACAGUUCGCACAAUUUCAAGCUAUUCCAGGAGAACACGUUUGUUUCCGGGAUACAACAGGCGCAAGCAGUUGCACUGAUGGUCUUGACUCCAACCCGAAGGUGUACCUUGCUGCUUGAAAGAUGAAG